GAUGAACGCUGGCGGCGUGCCUAAUACAUGCAAGUCGAGCGAACAGACGAGGAGCUUGCUCCUCUGACGUUAGCGGCGGACGGGUGAGUAACACGUGGAUAACCUACUUAUAAGACUGGGAUAACUUCGGGAAACCGGAGCUAAUACCGGAUAACAUGUUGAACCGCAUGGUUCAACAGUGAAAGACGGUCUUGCUGUCACUUAUAGAUGGAUCCGCGCCGCAUUAGCUAGUUGGUAAGGUAACGGCUUACCAAGGCAACGAUGCGUAGCCGACCUGAGAGGAUGAUCAGCCACACUGGAACUGAGACACGGUCCAGACUCCUACGGGAGGCAGCAGUAGGGAAUCUUCCGCAAUGGGCGAAAGCCUGACGCAGCAACGCCGCGUGAGUGAAGAAGGUCUUCGGAUCGUAAAACUCUGUUAUUAGGGAAGAACAAAUGUGUAAGUAACUAUGCACGUCUUGACGGUACCUAAUCAGAAAGCCACGGCUAACUACGUG
rnacentral:rRNA from 1 species